rnacentral:rRNA from 1 species
UACGUAGGGGCCAAGCGUUACCCGGAUUUACUGGGCGUAAAGGGCGUGUAGGUGGCUGCGUAAGUUUGCUGUGAAAUCUUUCGGCUCAACCGGGAGAGGUCAGCGAAUACUGCGCGGCUUGAGGGCAGCAGAGGAAGGUGGAAUUCCCGGUGUAGCGGUGAAAUGCGUAGAUAUCGAGAGGAACACCUGCGGCGAAGGCGGGUUGCUGGGCUGACACUGACGCUGAAGCGCGAAAGCUAGGGGAGCGAACGGG